UACGUAGGGGCCAAGCGUUGUCCGGAUUUAUUGGGCGUAAAGAGCUCGUAGGCGGUUGGGUAAGUCGGGUGUGAAAACUCCAGGCUCAACCUGGAGACGCCACCUGAUACUGCUGUGGCUAGAGUCCGGUAGGGGAGCAUGGAAUUCCUGGUGUAGCGGUGAAAUGCGCAGAUAUCAGGAGGAACACCAGUGGCGAAGGCGGUGCUCUGGGCCGGAACUGACGCUGAGGAGCGAAAGCGUGGGGAGCAAACAGG
rnacentral:rRNA from 1 species